ACUCUCGGCAACGGAUAUCUCGGCUCUCGCAUCGAUGAAGAACGUAGCGAAAUGCGAUACUUGGUGUGAAUUGCAGAAUCCCGUGAACCAUCGAGUCUUUGAACGCAAGUUGCGCCCGAAGCCUUCGGGCCGAGGGCACGCCUGCCUGGGCGUCACGCAUCGCGUCGCCCCCCCA
rnacentral:rRNA from 1 species